rnacentral:rRNA from 1 species
CAGUCGCCGCGGUAAUGCGUAGGUGGCAAGCGUUGUCCGGAAUUAUUGGGCGUAAAGGGCUCGCAGGCGGUUUCUUAAGUCUGAUGUGAAAGCCCCCGGCUCAACCGGGGAGGGUCAUUGGAAACUGGGAAACUUGAGUGCAGAAGAGGAGAGUGGAAUUCCACGUGUAGCGGUGAAAUGCGUAGAGACGUGGAGGAACACCAGUGGCGAAGGCGGCUCUCUGGACUGUAACUGACGCUGAGGCGCGAAAGCGCGGGGAGCGAACAGGAUUAGAUACCCCAGUAGUCCCUGUCUCUUAUAA